CCUACGGGCGGCAGCAGUGAGGAAUAUUGGUCAAUGGGCGCGAGCCUGAACCAGCCAAGUAGCGUGAAGGAUGACUGCCCUACGGGUCGUAAACCGCUUUUGCACGGGGAUAACACCCUCCACUUGUGGAGGUCUGCAGGUACCGUGCGAAUAAGGGCCGGCUAAUUCCGUGCCAGCAGCCGCGGUACUACGGAGGAUGCGAGCGUUAUCCGGAUUUAUUGGGGUUAAAGGGUGCGUAGGCGGAAUAUCAAGUCAGCGGUAAAAAUUCGGGGCUCAACCCCGUCGUGCCGUUGAAACUGAUGUUCUUGAGUGGGCGAGAAGUAUGCGGAAUGCGUGGUGUAGCGGUGAAAUGCAUAGAUAUCACGCAGAACUCCGAUUGCGAAGGCAGCAUACCGGCGCCCAACUGACGCUGAAGCACGAAAGCGUGGGUAUCGAACAGGAUUAGAUACCCUAGUAGUC
rnacentral:rRNA from 1 species